AACGCUGCCCCCGCCCCUGCGGGCGGUCCCGGGGCGGAGCGGCGGCGGGGCCGGGCCGGGCGAGGCUGCGGGCGCGAUGUCGGUGCGGGGCGAUCUGGCGUCGCUGGCGGAGCUGGAUGAGGCGUCGCUGCUGUGCGAGCUGCGGGAGCGGUUCCUGCGGCAGCUGCCCUACACCGACAUCGGGGACAUCCUCAUCGCCAUGAACCCCUUCCAGCCGCUGCCGCUCUACGGGACCGACGUCUCAGAGCAGUACCAGGGGCCCCCGGUGGGCACGCUGCCCCCCCAUAUCUUUGCCGUGGCCAGCCGAGCCUACCAUUCCAUGCUGGGCGGUGGUGGCAGCCAGUGCAUUGUGAUCAGUGGAGAGAGCGGUGCUGGGAAAACAGAGAGUACAAAGCUGCUGUUGCAGCACAUAAUGAACAUGUGUAAAGGCAACUCACAGUUGGAGCAGCAGAUCCUUCAGGUAAAUCCAUUGCUUGAGGCUUUUGGCAAUGCCCAGACUGUGAUGAAUGACAACAGCAGCCGCUUUGGAAAAUACAUACAGCUGCAUUUCCAGAACAAUACAGUGCAAGGUGCAAAGCUGAGUGAAUACCUGUUGGAGAAGUCACGGGUCGUGCAGCAAGAUACUGGGGAGAGGAAUUUCCACAUCUUCUACUAUAUGUUUGCUGGACUGUCUUCAGAGGAAAAGGAGAUGUAUGGGCUAUUGGAUCCUUCACUUUACAGGUACAUAAGCGGACAAUUUGGUACAGAGGAUGUAGCUCAGCGCUGGAAGCACAAAUACCAAGAGGUGUGCAAUGUCCUUGACAUGGUGGGCUUCCACGAACAGGAGCAAGUGGACAUGCAGGCUAUCUUGGCAGGUGUGUUGUCUCUGGGCAAUGUGACCUUUGAGCCUGAGGAAAGCAAUGGGUCUGUAAAAGUGAGCGAAACCUCCCGGGGAUGGCUGAAGGCUGCAGCGGGUCAGUUUGGAGUCCAAGAAGGUGAACUAUUAAAAUGCCUUAUUUGUACAAUGUCAGUGACCCGAGGCGAACAGAUUCAGCGUUUUCACACCCAGCAGCAGGCAGAAGAUGCUCGAGACUCCAUUGCAAAGGUGGCAUAUGGCCGAGUAUUUGGCUGGAUUGUUUGCAAGGUCAAUGAGCUGCUGGCUGAGAAUGUGGAUCCUGAGCUGGAACUGAGGGAGAUAGGUAUCUUGGAUAUUUUUGGGUUUGAAAAUUUUGCAGUGAAUCGUUUCGAACAGCUUUGCAUAAACUUGGCCAAUGAGCAGCUGCAACACUUCUUCAACCAUCACAUUUUCCAGCUGGAGCAGGCUGCCUAUAAGGAAGAAGAGCUGCCAUGGGAGACUAUCACAUUCAACAAUAACGAACCUAUUCUGGAUCUGCUCCUGGCCAAGCCACUUGGGCUCCUGUCUCUUCUGGAUGAGCAGAGUGCAUUCCCUCAGGCAACUGAUAAGACAUUUGUGGAUAAACUAAACAGCAGCUUCAAGGGGAAUUUACAUUUCCAGCCGGGUCGAGGCCAUGUUUUGGGCUUCAGUAUCAUUCACUACGCUGGAAAAGUGCAGUAUACUGCCGGGGGCUUUCUGGAGAAGAACAGAGACACCCUGCCAGCCAGCGUCCGCGGGCUAUUCAUCAACAGUGUCACCCCCUUGCUGAGUGUGCUGUUCACAGCUACAAUCUCCAGGACAGGGACACUGAUGCCUCAUGUGAAACCCAAGAUCAUUCCAGGAGCAGACAACAAGUUCAACAGCACACGAAAACAGUCUGUUGGAGCUCAGUUUCGGUGUUCCCUGAUGGUGCUGAUGGAAAGGAUGUAUUCUGCCAACCCACACUUUGUGCGCUGUAUAAAACCCAACCACCAGAAGGAGCCAGGUGUGGUGGACAACCAGGUGGUGCUACUGCAGCUCCGGUACAAUGGGCUGCUGGAGACAAUCCGUAUCCGAAGAGAUGGCUUUUCCUGGAGACCUUUAUUUGAGGAAUUUGCUGAAAGGUACGGAAUUCUUCUAGUUAAACCAGAUGUUUCCCUUACAAAAGAAAGCUGCUUGGAGAUACUGCGAAGUACAGAGCUGACAGGCUGGCUGUGUGGGAAGUCACGACUUUUCUUUAAAUAUUGGCACCAGGAACAGCUGGCAAAGUAUGUGGAACGACUGGAAAGAGCAGCAGUUGUUAUACAGAAAGUUUUCAGGGAAUUCAGAUAUAGAAAGAGUUACCAGCAACUAAUGGCUGAGCUGAGAGCUCAGGCACAGUGGAUACAGGAGGAGACAGAAAGAAAAAGAAGCUGGCUGAUGGCAAUAGAAGCAGAAGCCCAGAGAGUCUUUCUUCCAAUCCCCAUGGCACGAAAGAGGUGCCAUCAGCCUUGUCCUCAUUCUCCUGAUAAGCCACCAGUGCCACGGCCCCGCAGCAAACUGACAGAGUCUACUCCUUUUGAUAACUUUUCGGACCCUACUGCGCCUCGUUCUGUUCUGGGGACAAAGGAGCUGACUGGAGAUGAGGCAAAAAUGAGGAAACGUAAGAGAGGAGCAACUUUCUGCUGGUUCAAAGAAACGCAGGCCCAGAAGGUCAUGCAGGAUGAUGGAGCCUUUCCAAGCUGGCUGCAUGGGAUGAUCAGCCGGAGGGAAGCUGAAAACUUGCUGAUUGACAAGCCUUUGGGAUGCUUCCUUGUUCGGAUCAGCCGGAGCCGACCAGGCUACAUCUUGACAUACAGGGGCGAGGACCGCUGCAGACACUACCUGAUCCAGAUGCAGCCCAAUGCAUACUAUGUUAUCGUGGGGGAAGACUGGGCUCACGCCUCGCUCGCCGACCUGGUUCGGUAUCACCAGACUGUGGUCAUCCAGCCCUUCAUGGAGAUACUGACUGUGCCCUGUAGGCAGAAAAGUAGUGAGAGUUUGGAUUAUGACAAUCUGGAGUGCCUCAGGCUGGGUCCACCAGCAGCAGAGAGGGAUACCGCUCCAGAGGAGCAGACCCGCCCCUCCAGGGCUUCCAUCAGCAAACCUGCUCUGCCAUCAGGAGCAGCUGCUGUUCUCAAACGUGUGUGGUUCAGGAGGACCCAGAAUUGUCAAAACCAACAAAGCCUGGACAAGAGUAGGACAAAGCCAAGCUCAAGCAAGGAGAGAGGCAGCCAGCGAGCCUUCCCUCGCCUCCACUCUUCCAUACAUCGGGCAAUGCAGGAAAUCCAGCAGUCUUGGGUCAAUACUGUUCAUUGGAAGAGCUAGGCUGUGAAAAUCCUGGGAGAGGCUCUCAGCUGCCCAAAGGUAAGUCCACAAGAGAAGAGGCUGUGAUAUAGCCAGUGUCCCAGUUGCUGCUCCUCUAAUGCUCUCUUUCUGUUUCUCACUGCAGUUCUCUCCCGUUCUCUUGAGCACCUCUGAACAGAGCUGCUAUCAAGCUCUCAGCGUUGAGGACGUAGAUCCCAAGUGACAUGGUCAAAGUGCCUUAGUCCUAUCUUCUUCCAGUGCUGCUGGGCCUGGCCUUACCAAGAGAACAUAUGCAGACAUAAAGUAGCUUUUUCAUGUUUUGGGGAUUUUUGAUGCACCUAGCUGGUCCUGUGCUUUUAGAUGGGACUGCUGCACAAAUGAACUUUCAUCAGCGCUCAGCCAGUCUCAGUGGCUGAAACUGCAGUAUCUGGACUGGCUUCAUCCUGGCAGAGGGGAGAGGAUGGAAACAGUCACACUCUGCACAGAUCCACAGUGCCUGACAGCCUGCAUGUCAAUACUUCAGCAUGCCUGGAGCCCCCUCGCCUUGAGCUGUUAGUAGUCACAAACUAGAUCAAACUCCCAACAACCUGUUCUUUCACAGAUACCUGUACUGAUUUCCUACCUCUUUUAUCUUCAAGCCCUCUGUUUCUGUUUUGGUCCUGUGUAUCUGCUGUUCUGGGUGCCCGGGGAGGCUCUGUUGGGGAAGUAAUGAAUGAAAAUUUUAUGCCCUUUUUGUUGAGUGCAGGAGCUGAGGCGAAGACCAAGAGGACCUUUCUACCGAGUGCAUUUCCUGCCCUUGCAUCAGUGUGCUGGCACACUGCUCCCCAUUCCUUAGCCAGGGUCCAAGUCAGGGAAUCAUUGGUGAAACCCUCUUGUUCAUUCCGGCUGGAAUCACUACAAGUCUAGGCUGGACGACAUGGUACUUUACACUGAGGCUUGAAACAUACAGGACCGUGCUACUUGUUAUGUAUUUUCUACCUGUUAAAAUAAA